rnacentral:lncRNA from 10 species
AGGGUCCUCUGCCUAGGAAAACCAGAGACCCUUGUUCACAUGUUUAUCUGCUGACCUUCCCUCCACUAUUGUCCUAUGACCCUGCCAAAUCCCCCUCUCCGAGAAACACCCAAGAAUGAUCAAUAAAUACUAAAAACAAACAACAACAAAAAAAACAACUAUGCUGAGUAAAAGGAGCCAGACCCAAAAGACCAUCUAUGAUUCUACUUAUAUGAAAUCUUUAGAAAUGCAAAAGUAUAGCCAGCAUGGUGGUUCAUACCUGUAAUCCCAGCACCUUGGGAGGCCAAGGCGGGCGGAUUACUUGAGAUCAGGAGUUUGAGACCAGCCUGGCCAACACGGCAGAACCCAGUCUCUACUAAAAAUACAGCCAGGUGUGGUAGUGCACGCCUAUAAUCCCAGUUACUCUGGUGGCUAAGGCACAAGAAUCACUUGAACCCGGGAGGUGGAGGUUGCAGUGAGCCAAGAUGAUGCCACUGAACUCCAGCCUGGGUGGCAAAGGAAGACUGUCGAAAAAAAAAAAAAAGAAAAAGAAAAAGAAAAAGAAAAGAAGGAAGGGAGGGAGGGAGGGAAAGAAGAAAGAAGGAAGGAAGGAAAGAAGGAAGGAAGGAAAAGAAAAGAAAAGAAGAGAAAGGAAGGAAGGAAGAAAAGGCAAAACUAUAGAAUCAGAGAACAGAUUAGUGGCUGCUGGGGCCUGGGGUAGGAGAGGAGACUGACUAUAAACAGGCAGGAGGGAACUUUGUCAGUCGACAGUCAUGUUCUGUAGCUAGAUUGGGAUGAAGUUUGCUGUUAAAAAUGCACUAAAACUCACCAAACUACACUUAAGAUGGGUAGAUUUUGUGGUAUAUAAGUUAUACUUCAAAAAACUAUAAAUAAGAAAGUUAACUGGAACAUCCUGUGCUUUCCAAAUCAAGACACCUUUCAGAGGAUACAUUCAUAGCCUUUGCCCCGGGCAAGCGGAGCCCUCCACCACGUGGCCAGAAUUUCCUGACGUCCAAGAAAGGGCAUUAAACAAUAUGGCUUCUGAGAAAACAUCUAAUAUCAGAGAUGAAAAAACUGAGGCUUGAAGAGUAGCAGUGUCUUGUCAAGGCCCAUAUAGAAAGUAAGAGGCCAAGCCACUGAAAGAAGGUUGUCUGCUUAGAAGGCACUCUUUCCAUUAUACCAGGUGACGAGAAAACACACCCAGAUAAAGACUAUAUGGCGAAUGAACUUAGAAGCGCUAGCAAUUCUGGCUCCUUUCACCAGAACAAGCUGCAAUCUGCAAUAAACAGGAAGAGGCUUCAUAUGUGAGGUAAAAGCCUCUCUUACUCCCUCUCUGCCAAGGACGAUUGCCAAUGCAGUUUUGAUAAGUAAAUAAAGAAUUACUGGAUGGCCAAGAACUACCACCCUAAGCAUAUCCAGCAGUCAGCCCAUGCUAUUCAAUUGUGCUACAACUACCUUUAAAAAGAAUGACUGAACUCACAGAAUGGUAAGAGUUGGAAUGGAGACCUCCCACUGGACAGCAAUGAAAGAUGAAACCCUAAAUAUAUCUGAAGUGAAUUUUUUCAUUGAACUGUCUCAAAAAUCAUGAUGAGAUUAACCUAGAACUCUCAUAUUUAGUUUCUUUGGUGCUACUGAAAAUAGUUUGACCGUUGUCCAUUUUUAACUGGACUGGGGGAAAUAACAAUGUCAUUGUAUUUUACAUAAUGAAAUAAAGGAUCUGGCAACACAGCGCAGCUGUUAUAAAGAAGACACAAAUGCCACCUUAAUAUGAUUUCUUAAAUAUAUAAUAAGCUGGGUUUUAGUCUGGGUCUGUAUGCUCACUAAUAUCAAGUAAAAAAAAUGAAUUAUCUUCUGCAUGAAGACAGGGAAGGUAGACAGGGAGGCAAUGGUCUUUUAUGCUAAAAGCUCUUAAAAGUCAGGAAGGUAUUCAAUAUUUAAAAAUUAAAUGAUGAAAAACCUGUUCUGAAGUCCCAACAGUUUUUAGAUAUGGGUUCCUUUUGUAAAGGAAAUAAUCUGCUGUCUGCUCUUUGGUAUAACACAAUAAAUAUGAUAAUUACUUCAUAUAACAGCUUAAAUUAAAUUGCUUUUGAAUGA